GCGCCUGUAGCUCAAUUGGAUAGAGCGUCGGACUUCGGAUCCGAAUGUUGCGGGUUCAACUCCUGUCAGGCGCGCCA
rnacentral:tRNA from 2 species